GCUUGCUUUGGCCACACAUAUACUAAAAUUGGAACAAUGCAGAGAAGAUUAGCAUGACUCCUGCAUAGAGAGUCAUGCUAAUUAGAAUGCCAUGCAAAUUCCU